GCAUCUUUUAAUGAAAGAGCAGUUUGAGCAACAUACUUCAGAAAUGGGGUCCUGUUCAUCCUUUGCUUUACAAAUCGAUCUCCUUGGUUCCUUAAGUGAGGUCCAAUUGGUUGACAUUGUGGUUUGUCUUUGUGUGUAAACUUGCAGCUUCAGAAAAGAGAAGAUGAGCUACAAAGACAGCAACAGGAAACACUCUGCAACAGAGCAAGGAUGAUCUUCUUACUGAGUGCUAGUCUCAAGAAAUUGGACUCACCAGCUCCAGACUGAGCUGUGUAAAAUGAAAUCUGAUAUAAAAAAUGGAGAGCUGAAGUUGAAGAGCUACAAAAUGAACUGGAGCAAGUGAUUCACGUAAGCAUGUGGAUAUCUGUGGCUGUUUAUCAAUUUAAUCCAAGGAAGUCUACUGCAGAUGCAUCUGGAAGACUGAAAGACGAUUGUUCAAGAGCACAAGCAGCCUUCAGUGGACAAUCAGAGUGUGCCUACAGCUGGAGAAGCUCACUGGCGUGACGCCUUUGUUGCUCAUAAAUCUGAUUUCACAGAACUUGAAAGGAAGUUGGAUGAUACCAAAAAGGAACUGGAGGAGGUGCAUGCUGAUCUUGUCAUGGUCAUGCAGGAACUUGAUUUGGCAAGAGCUGAGGUAUAACUAUGUGUUCGGACAUCAUCUGAAUGAAUGCUCCAGUACCAGUUUUGUUUUCUUUUGUGGUAGUGGUUAGUGAAUGAUUCUUGUAUAUGUAUAGAUAUAGAUAUUUAAUAAAGAAGGACAUUUUAUUCUGAAUUUUCA
rnacentral:lncRNA from 1 species